UUGUAGGGGGCCGCAAGGCCCCUCGCAUGACCGCAACCCUUGCCUUUUCGAAUCCGUCCGUUUCCUCGGCAGCUUUGCGUGAGCUCUGCCUGCCAGCGAGGACCCCCGAUAAACCUUCUUGCAAUCCUAGUACAAAUCUCAGAACAAAACAAACCUUUA
rnacentral:misc_RNA from 1 species